rnacentral:misc_RNA from 1 species
UUAUAUAGGUAUAUAGUCUAU